AGAGUUUGAUCAUGGCUCAGAUUGAACGCUGGCGGCAGGCCUAACACAUGCAAGUCGAGCGGUAGCACAGAGAGCUUGCUCUCGGGUGACGAGCGGCGGACGGGUGAGUAAUGUCUGGGAAACUGCCUGAUGGAGGGGGAUAACUACUGGAAACGGUAGCUAAUACCGCAUAACGUCGCAAGACCAAAGUGGGGGACCUUCGGGCCUCAUGCCAUCAGAUGUGCCCAGAUGGGAUUAGCUAGUAGGUGGGGUAACGGCUCACCUAGGCGACGAUCCCUAGCUGGUCUGAGAGGAUGACCAGCCACACUGGAACUGAGACACGGUCCAGACUCCUACGGGAGGCAGCAGUGGGGAAUAUUGCACAAUGGGCGCAAGCCUGAUGCAGCCAUGCCGCGUGUGUGAAGAAGGCCUUCGGGUUGUAAAGCACUUUCAGCGGGGAGGAAGGCGUUAAGGUUAAUAACCUUGGCGAUUGACGUUACCCGCAGAAGAAGCACCGGCUAACUCCGUGCCAGCAGCCGCGGUAAUACGGAGGGUGCAAGCGUUAAUCGGAAUUACUGGGCGUAAAGCGCACGCAGGCGGUCUGUCAAGUCGGAUGUGAAAUCCCCGGGCUCAACCUGGGAACUGCAUUCGAAACUGGCAGGCUAGAGUCUUGUAGAGGGGGGUAGAAUUCCAGGUGUAGCGGUGAAAUGCGUAGAGAUCUGGAGGAAUACCGGUGGCGAAGGCGGCCCCCUGGACAAAGACUGACGCUCAGGUGCGAAAGCGUGGGGAGCAAACAGGAUUAGAUACCCUGGUAGUCCACGCCGUAAACGAUGUCGAUUUGGAGGUUGUGCCCUUGAGGCGUGGCUUCCGGAGCUAACGCGUUAAAUCGACCGCCUGGGGAGUACGGCCGCAAGGUUAAAACUCAAAUGAAUUGACGGGGGCCCGCACAAGCGGUGGAGCAUGUGGUUUAAUUCGAUGCAACGCGAAGAACCUUACCUGGUCUUGACAUCCACAGAACUUUCCAGAGAUGGAUUGGUGCCUUCGGGAACUGUGAGACAGGUGCUGCAUGGCUGUCGUCAGCUCGUGUUGUGAAAUGUUGGGUUAAGUCCCGCAACGAGCGCAACCCUUAUCCUUUGUUGCCAGCGGUCCGGCCGGGAACUCAAAGGAGACUGCCAGUGAUAAACUGGAGGAAGGUGGGGAUGACGUCAAGUCAUCAUGGCCCUUACGACCAGGGCUACACACGUGCUACAAUGGCAUAUACAAAGAGAAGCGACCUCGCGAGAGGAAGCGGACCUCAUAAAGUAUGUCGUAGUCCGGAUUGGAGUCUGCAACUCGACUCCAUGAAGUCGGAAUCGCUAGUAAUCGUAGAUCAGAAUGCUACGGUGAAUACGUUCCCGGGCCUUGUACACACCGCCCGUCACACCAUGGGAGUGGGUUGCAAAAGAAGUAGGUAGCUUAACCUUCGGGAGGGCGCUUACCACUUUGUGAUUCAUGACUGGGGUGAAGUCGUAACAAGGUAACCGUAGGGGAACCUGCGGUUGGAUCACCU
rnacentral:rRNA from 1 species